UUGUUCCAUGGCAUGUGGGAUCUUCUCGGACCAGGGCUUAAACCCAUGUCCCCUGCAUUGGCAGGCGGAUUCUUAACCACUGCGCCACCAGGGAAGCCUACCAUUGUGAUAAAUUUGACCCUGACUUCUAGCCCUUGAACUGCAGAGUCUAUUGGUUUUCUUAGCAUGUGAGCUGUGAUACAGACAAAGCAUGAUCCAGCUGGUUCUGGACAUCUAGUGUGGUCAGUAAUCUCUAGUCCGGUCGAAUAUGGUAGGGAGGCAAGGUCUUGUGAUGCAAACCUUUUUCCUGCAGCCCAUCCUUAUCUUCCAUCACUACUUCUCAUUUUUAUAAUAAACAAAGUACUCGGUGGCGCAAAGUAGACUGUUCCCUUCUUGGGUAUUUCCAGAAUGGAACUCAAAACCAAGUUUCUUGCUUUAAAGCAGAUAGCAUGGCAUGGGAGUAUCAAUUACCUGGAGGGCUUUUUCACAUAGAAAAAGUUGGGAAUCCCUUAUCUAAUGAGAGCUCUUUACUCCUGUAUUUGCUAUUAGAGCUUGCCAUAUUGGCUAUUUUCCAAAGGAUUUGUAAUAUGCUUCCACAAAUAAGCACACUGCAUGGUAUAAGUGUAAAGAAUACUGAAGUUAUGACCUGCAUUCUAGUCAUUGCUCAGUCCUUUACUAAGACUAUAGGUCAGUCACCUCCCUUUAAAAUGAAAGCCAUGAGAGCAGUCUCUACAGCCUCUUCUAGCCAUUACCAGUUCAGAAAUGGCAAAACUUGCUGUUGGAUUAAACAUGUGGGGUGAGAGAAUAGGGUGACCCCAGGUGUCUGGUUUGAACGAAUGGGUACAAGAGAAGAAUGAGAGAGAACAGGCUUGGAUGGAAGGUGCUGGGAAGGGAGUGGGAAUAUACAUUCUAUUUUGAACACACAGUUUGAGAUGCCUGUGAGAUAUAUAGGAGAAGAUACCAUAGGCAGAUUAGGGCUCAGAGGAGAAAUUUGGGGAACUAUAAAUCUGGAUGUUGUCUGAAUUUCAAUGAGAUUUAAAUAUGGCCACUGUAAGCUGGAAGGAAUUCCCCUGACCUAUUGAAAUUCCAACAUUAAGGAUGACCACACAGAAUCAAGCACUAUUUUAAUAAUAUCUGCAGCUAGCAAUAAAUAAUUGAGAGCAGUAUUCUUAUUUUAUAAAAAGACUCUGGACCCUAAGAUAUCCAAGGGAAGAAAGCAGCUUUCAAAGAAAGCAGCUCUGUUCCUAGAAACCUAAGAUUAUUAAAGUGCUUAUGUAUAAUCUUGCAGUCGGGCCAACUUCCCUAACAAAAUGCAUAUGUUCCCUUAGCAACGGAAAGAAUGGAAGUGCCAGGCAGCACUCAGUAAGUCAAAGGUUUAGAAAGAUAAAUACUGCAUGGUAUCACUUAUACGUGGAAUCAAAAAAUAAUAAGUUGAAGUCAUAGAAACAGUAAAAAAGUGGUUACCAGGGCCUAGAGGGUGGGGGAAAUACAAAAAAGGAUACAGACUUUCAGCUAUAAGAUAAAUAAGGUCUGUGGAUCUGAUGUAUAACAUGGUGACUAUAGUUGAUAAUGCUAUCAUAUAGCUGAAAUUUGCUAAGAGUAGAACUUAAACGUUCUCCAAAAAAAAAGGUGAUGGGUGAUGUAUAUGUUAAUUAAGUAGAUGGGGGAAUCCUUUCACAAUGUACAUUUAUGUCAAAUCAUCACAUACACUUGAAAUGUCUUACAGUUUUGUUAAUUAUACCUCAGUAAAGCUGAACAACAAAAGCCUGCAGGACAGAGACCCAAGAAGAGCCGAGACUUCAGUCCGAGUCUGAAGGCCAGAAGAGACCAGUGUCCCAGCUCAGCAGUCAGGUAGGCAGUUUAAAUACAAAAACAAAUACAAGCUAAAGUUUCCCUCCAUUCUUGAAGCUCUAAGGCCCACAGUCCUUAAUUUUCCCAGAGAAACUUAUUUUUUAUGCAGCCAACCUGUCUCCACCACUAUAGAAAACAGCCAGUGAAGAAAUUCAAACAGGACCAUCUAAAGAUCUAGCGUAGAGAACAAGCACAGGAUGUUUAUCUUCAUGAAGAUAUGUAAGGCUCUUUCUUCAGUCUCAAGGCUGGGCAACUACAAGGCUUUCAGGCCUGCGGGAUGCAGCCCAACAGGAAGCUUCUGCAGGGUUCUGAGAUGAAGCAGGCCAUGCUCUGACUUAUGUUUUAGAAGGAUCACUCUGGCUGCUGUGAGGGGCAAGGGUGAGAGCAAGAAGACCUUCGUAGAGGUCCAAGCGGGAGGCGGUGGGCACUGGACUGAGAUGCUAUGGAGUAGAGGUGAUGAGAAGUGGGCAGCUUCUGGAUAUACUUUCAAGAUAGAGCUAGAAUAAUUUCCUGAUGGAUUUAUUCUAGCCUGUGAGAGGAGGAGAGGAGUCAGAGAUGACUGAGUGCUCUCACCUGAGCAACUGGAAGGAAGGCGAUGCCAUCGAAUGAGAUGGGGAAGGCUUUGGGUGAAGCAAGUUCAAUAAAUGAAGAUAUCAAGUGGGCACUUGGAUACCUGAGUGUGAAGUGGAGAGAAGAUGAGCCCGGAGCUGCCCGUCUGGAAGUCACAGGACAAGGAUGGUAAAGCCAUGGGACUGGAGGAGACCACCAAGGGUGUGAUGUAAAGGGGGAGAAGAGCUCAAGUUCAGGACUUAGCCUCCACCCGAAGAGCCCAGGAAGAAGACUCCUGAGAAGGAGCUACCAGUGAGGUAGAAGGAACACAGAGAAACUGUGCUGUGGAAGCCAGGGAAAGAAGACGUCUCAAAAAGGAGACAGCUGUGCUGAAGUAAGAGUAAGUAAGGUUCAGCGCCUUAGUGAGACCAGGUCAGUGGCGUGGAGGGAUAAAAACCCAACAGGAGUGGGUGUGAAAUGGAUUAGAAGGAAAGGAAUUGGAGGCAGGGAGGACAGACAACUCUUUCGAGGUUUUUGCUGUAAAGGGAGCAAAGACCUAAAAGAAAUGGUAAGAUGUAUUAAGAGAAGGGAAAAUAGCAGCAUGUUCUCGGGCUAAUGUGAACGGUCCAGUAGCUGGGGAAAUGAUGACAGAAGAGAGAUAGGGGAGAAGGCUGGAGCCACGUCCUUGAAUAAGCAGACGUGGAACAGGCGGCUGGAAUUCCCUGGGGCUGUGACAAGACAGAGGACUCUAUUGCCCAGUUCCACAAAGGGGUGUCUCGUGCAGGAGAAACAGCACAGGAUCCAGAUGCUCCAGACGGGGAUGUGUACAAACCGCUGGAUGGCUGUGCAACCUUGGGGAAGUCAUUUACCUUCUCUGUGCACAGCUGCUUCUUCUGAAAAAUAGGGAUGAUUACAAGGCUGUUGUGAAGGCCAAGAGAGAUAAUAUAUGUGAAAAACACUUAGCACAGUGCAGGCUGCAGUGAGCACCCAGGAAUGAAGAGCUGAAUCCGAGCUGUGAGACCUGGAGCCAAGCCCUGAAGCUCUCAGGGCCUCGGUUUCUUCAAAGAGGAGUUGUGAGCUCAACUUAGAGACUGUGUGUGUGCAAGUGCUUGGUACGUGAGCAUGAAGGUUACCAGCAUCACAAGCAAGCACAGCUGUCCUCACUCUGAGAGGCUUCACAUUCCGGAUGGGUACCCCGGCCCAGUGAGGCUCCCUGAGCUCCUUGGGUCCCACUUCC